rnacentral:rRNA from 1 species
GCUAAACGCGAAGAACCUUACCUAGGCUUGACAUGCAUCUCUAAGCGCGUGAAAGCGCGUGACCCUUCGGGGGAUUUGCACAGGUGCUGCAUGGCCGUCGUCAGCUCGUGUCGUGAGAUGUUGGGUUAAGUCCCGCAACGAGCGCAACCCUUGUGAUUAGUUGCCAGCACGUCAUGGUGGGAACUCUAAUCAGACUGCCCAGAUCAACUGGGAGGAAGGUGGGGACGACGUCAGGUCAGUAUGGCCCUUACGCCUAGGGCUGCACACGUACUACAAUGCCCAGUACAAUGAGAACCGAGACCGCGAGGUGGAGGAAAUCUACAAAACUGGGCCCAGUUCGAAUUGGAGGCUGCAACUCGCCUCCAUGAAGCCGGAAUCGCUAGUAAUGGCACAUCAGCUACGGUGCCGUGAAUACGUUCCCGGGUCUUGUACACACCG